rnacentral:rRNA from 1 species
GGGAGGCAGCAGUGGGGAAUAUUGCACAAUGGGGGAAACCCUGAUGCAGCGACGCCGCGUGAGUGAAGAAGUAUUUCGGUAUGUAAAGCUCUAUCAGCAGGAACGAGACAAGACGGUACCUGACUAAGAAGCCCCGGCUAACUACGUGCCAGCAGCCGCGGUAAUACGUAGGGGGCAAGCGUUAUCCGGAAUCACUGGGUGUAAAGGGAGCGUAGACGGCUGUGCAAGCCUGAAGUGAAAGGCGGGGGCCCAACCCCUGGACUGCUUUGGGAACUGUACGGCUGGAGUGCAGGAGAGGUAAGUGGAAUUCCUAGUGUAGCGGUGAAAUGCGUAGAUAUUAGGAGGAACACCAGUGGCGAAGGCGGCUUACUGGACUGUAACUGACGUUGAGGCUCGAAAGCGUGGGGAGCAAACAGGAUUAGAUACCCUGGUAGUCCACGCCGUAA